CAAAGAAGAACUAGGCGCAUUGGUAACACACGAAUGUAAAAAGAAAACUUCUGCACUUACCCAGAUAUCCGUGCUUCAGGAAUAACUGCAGAUUCCACGUCAAUUUUGGCAACAAUUUUACGGUACAAGAACAAAAUUGGUUGUUCAGAAUGAGUUACUUGAAGGAGUCGAUGACUGUAACCACCUACACUGAAAAUAACAAUUCUCUAUUCACCGCUAACAUUUUAAAAACGGCAGUUUCAUGCCAUCACGGUACAUCUCAGCGGCAUUUAACACCUUAGAACUCACAAUGUAGGUUUUAGCAAUUUUGCCAAAGUAUAAGCCUCUGUUGGUCAGGACCCUAACUGUUUAAACCAGUACAGAAAUGCUUAUGCUCUCUUGCAUAAUACAGCAUGGCAAAAUCGUGAUGCAACCAAUACAUACUGCUAAACAAAGAUGAUUGUUACAUAGUAUUUACCUAGUUAGUAGCCGUCACAAUUCUCCUAACUCCCGAUGAGUUUUGAGUAGAAUUGAAAGACAGAUAAAUAUCAACAGCAUCUGUUUACAAUCAUUAAAGAGCUGUUAAUAUCUAACAGCUAUAUUAUGUUAAAAUAUGGAUGAAUACUUACAUCAUGAUGGUAGACUCGAUAAUCAUAUUUUGCUUCAUAGCCUUUCCACCCAUCAACCAGUAAUAUUGUCACAUCUGCAAGCAACAAGAAAUCUUAUAUUAAUUGAUGUUGCUUCUAAAUUAUGUGUGCACUGACUUUGAUAGCGAUUCAACUGGAUACCUACAAUACUCAUUACCGUAUUCGAACAAAAUACAACUUGUUAGAAAGUGAA